rnacentral:rRNA from 1 species
AGUGAACGCUGGCGGUAGGCCUAACACAUGCAAGUCGAACGGCAGCACAGGAGAGCUUGCUCUCUGGGUGGCGAGUGGCGGACGGGUGAGGAAUACAUCGGAGUCUACUUUUUCGUGGGGGAUAACGUAGGGAAACUUACGCUAAUACCGCAUACGACCUACGGGUGAAAGCAGGGGAUCUUCGGACCUUUCGCGAUUGAAUGAGCCGAUGUCGUAUUAGCUAGUUGGCGGGGUGAAGGCCCACCAAGGCGACGAUCCGUAGCUGGUCUGAGAGGAUGCUGAGCCACACUGGAACUGAGACACGGUCCAGACUCCUACUGGAGGCAGCUGUGGGGAAUAUUGGACAAUGGGCGCAAGCCUGAUCCAGCGAUACCGCGUGGGUGAAGAAGGCCUUCGGGUUGUAAAGCCUUUUUGUUGGGAAAGAAAUCCAGCUGGUUAAUACCCGGUUGGGAUGACGGUACCCAAAGAAUAAGCACCGGCUAACUUCGUGCCAGCAGCCGCCGUAA